ensembl:lncRNA
GGUGGGGGUUUUGGUCGUGACAGGGGUUGGAAGUAGAAGCGGGGUCUGUGUUAUACAAUAAUUGAAUAAAUUGAGUAUUGAGUUCAAUUAAAUCACAUAAAUUACAAUUCUGCGCGUUCGUAAUUGCUGUGAACCGCGGUCGCUAGCCCAAGGCUGCGGCUGGUGGAGGAGGGGCACUGGCAGGGAGGCGCGGCCCCUGGGAGGAAUUAUCCUGCAAUUUUUUGUUUCUUUUAUAGACAUCAAAAGGCAAGGAGACAGCCUGACAGACAUGUAUUAAAGUGUAAAUGAGGGUUAAAAGGAAUCGCAGCCCUUCGGUUGUUUGGUGCAUUUACACAGAAACAAUAAUGUUGCUUAAUAGAAAACAUUACUCCUGCAGCUGCUUCCUAUUGAACUUUGGUAAAAGAAAAAAUAAUUUUUAGAAGUUGUGACCUGAUCCUUGGAAACAAAGAGGGAAGGAUUUCUCGAUGUCACAACGCACAGAUUUAAUUAUAUUAUAUAAGAAAUCCAUCAUGAAACUAAUCGACUGACUGGAAGACACGUAUGUGGACACACGGGACGUGACGUCAGUAUGUCCUCCUGGAAGGUGGAGGUGAUCUUUAAUAUAUGAUUAAUCUGUCAUCAGGAUAGGACAUUGUUGUGAUUGUAUGUGAUCAAUGCUGCAAAGUGUCUUUUGAUUGACAAAGCAGCUUAAAGUUUACACGUGUGUCCACUGAGGUGUGUGUGUGUCUGUGUGUGUGUGUGUGUGUCUUUGGGGCAUCAGAUAACUGUGUCCCUCCCUCCUACAGCGGAGAUGGUCAGAUUUAAUCAGAUAAACUCUCGAUGCAACAGCUGUCACCCAGACCCAGAAUCUCUGUGCCUCCUCCCCCUCUCUCCCCUCCUCCCUCCUCCAUUCCAUCUCCACUUAAUGCCUCUCUCAGCCUCUAUAUCUCUGCUAUAUCUCCGGACCUCUCUCAGUAUGUGUGUGCGAGUGUACUUAGGACACGCGUGUGUACCCUCAGCAUGCACGUGGCCGAACACACGUACACACACACACACGCACGGAUAAGUACUCUCCAUUAUCCCUGAUUCAGCAGAUGAGUAUCUGGUUUGAUACAGUUUUCCUCUUUGCGAACAGAAACAAACACACUGAAGCCACAGCACGCGUGUGCUGUUGGUUGUUGUAGCAGGUGAUCUGUUGAGAGAUUGCAUUCCUGUGAGCAGGGAGCGUCGGCAUGCAGUGUUCACAAACACGUAACGUUGGGUUCUGUCUUUUGUCUUGGCACAGCGUCACUGGGUCAGCUUGUCUCCCCGUUCUCCCAGUGAGCUUUACUCAUCUCUGAGGGUGGGCUACAGUGGCAUUAAGUGGUCUACUGUGUGGCUGUUAUGAGGGGGAGAGGCUUUUGUUUCUGUGACAACAGAAAGAAAAUCUCAGCAGAAUCUCAGCACCUCCACUUUGAUGCAUGUCGGGUCCAUGGUGCGAUUACGAUUACCAUGUGUUUUGCACCCUUGCGGGAUGCUCACAGCUUCUGGCCCUCACCUCACUCGGGCCUCGCCAGCAUCACCGCCGCUGGGAGCGACUCUGUCACUCUGAACCGCUGCCAAGUGAACAGGAGUAUCUUGCCAGGAACCAUUUCUUUCUUGACUGCAUCCAUUAAAAACUGUAUUUGAGGAUUGACGGCUAUUGUUGUUGUUGUUGUUGUGUGUGGCCUCGGGGUCUGCUGUAACAUUGUCUGCUGACGAAGUGGACCUUGAAUGUAGAAUCUUUACCACAUGCAGGUUUUCCCAAGGCCAGCGAUCCUCGGCCAUGUUGAAAUAUCCAGUAACGCUGGCGUUGAGGCAUUUUAAUGUACUGCGGGUGAAAGAAUAGCUGGUACCUCAGUCCAACGUUUAUUCAAAUGAAACGUUGAGCACACAUACAGAGGCUUAUACAGACUGUGGGCAUCUCUCUACUUCCAGUGGUUGUAGUAACAUGUGAUUUAAUGACUAGUUUUCAUAGUAAACUACCAACAUUGUUUCCAUUUCAUUUCUGCUUUUGCAUUAAUGCAACUUCCUGGAUUGACUUUGAAAGGACAUUUAACGUGCACAUCAACACACACACACGUUGUUUUUAAAGCAUGCAUUUUAAAGCAUGCAUGCUGACAUUCACAUAUGGUAAUUAACGUUUUUAUCUCUUCUAUCUUCACAUACACACUAAUCCUCAAAGUGCCUAUCCAGCAAUAGUGAUUUGGAAGGAGCAUCAGGGAGUCGAGGGUUGUGAGUGUGUACUGAACCUCCAUGGUGCUGAAAGCGCUCUACGCAUGUGUGUGUGUGUGCUCAAAGAAAGGGGACUUCUGAAACCUGAGACUGUGUGAAAAUGCGUUGGUUUAAAGAUCUGAAUUCGGGGGCGAGGGGGGAGAAAAAGAGAAAAGGGAGUUGCGCAAGAAAGCAAAACUAACUUGUUAUCCUGGUAGCGGAUAGAACUCACAGCACAUUGGUUCAGGACGAUGCUCAUUGGCCUGAGUGACACAAAGCAAACAUCGGGGAAGGAACAGCGGCGGGCGACCUUCUCCCAGCCGGGUGGAGACGAGGCCGAUCUGUUGUCAAAUAUCGGGAAUUAUUUAGAACGGAGGAAAAAGGCGAAUCCUCAAUUGAAAAGCUGAAACAAACCACUGAAAUGUUAAAUUAUUAUCGAGAUAGUCAUUUUCUCACAGCGGACAUCUCCACCAGAUUCAGCACUGAAUCAAUAACACACAUACAAUUGUGACCUAUUUCCUCUUCCUGUCUUAUGGCGAAACCCUCCUCUAUAUUGGCCUCUAUCACAGCUUGGCUCGUUUAAUUAGAUAUGUAACCAGCACAUCAUUUCCUCUUCAGGAUUCGGGCGCGGGGAUGUGAUUACACCUGCCACAUUUCAUACACAUCCAUUUCCACAGAGGUCAGAGCAGGACUUCAGUGUGGAUCCAAGUGGGAGCAAAUCUGCAUCCGCUCACCCCGAGCAAUGAGUCACGCACCUGUGUGCUGCACAUCAACCUAGUUUCUGCAACGUUUCACAGGCUGACCCCUGGAUACAUGCAUGUGACCCGUAUGGACAGAUAGGAACAGUAAUUAUUUUAGCGAUCAGUGGACGUGAAUGAUUUAAGAAAAAGUCAAAUGUUCACGAUGGUACCUUCAUCAUUUUAUUUUGAAAAUACAUCAUUGAAUCGGUGGCGGUAUGUCUCUCCGUCAUCGACGCGUUUCUUUGGGGGGGGUUUGGUCAGAGAAAGCUGCCGUAUAUAUAGAUUUUUGCACGCACCAAACUGCAAACUUUUGUUGUUGGCCGCAAACACUGAGCCAACCUCAAAGCCCAGGCGACGACACGCGUCUAAACACGAUUAUCAAACGCUUCGCACCUCCUCACGUUGCCUCAAAUCCCCUUCCAACGCACCAAACACGGCUGAUGCCAAACGUGCACUCUGCGUGAGGACACAACAGACUUCAAUCAAAACAAAAAAUACCCAAAGCUCAGACAUGAUAAGACAAGGGGAGAGACUAUAUAGAUGUGUUUGAACUAGAGAUAAAUGUCACCGGUUCUCCUCCAUGUUGUCAGGAGACGGAACGUCUGCAUGCGGACCCCAAUCACCCGUCUAAAAGGUUCUUACGGUGAAACAAUAAUCUUUGGAUCCUCCCCAAACUCCUGCUGAUGCACUUAUGAUAAGUGGCUGUGUGGCGUAAUGGGCCUGAAAUGUAAAUGCGCUGGAAUGCUUUGUGAUUUGGAGACACCGAGAAGAAUACCAGAUGAGACGUUCCCUCUGUUCUGCUGAGCUCUCUCACUCUAAUGCACAACUCCAGACCUCGGCAUGUUCCCCCGAUUCAGUGAUUAUGUUAAAAUGAUGAUUGUAGUCGCUGUUCGUAGAUCUUAAUGGGGUUCAUUUCCUCCGUAAAGAUCACUGGCAUUGGCUUCAAUUGGGCUGUCAGCUGAUUGAUUGAUGUAUGUAAAUUAUUUACUGCAAUAGAUGAAAUAAGUCACCAAUUAUGGAAGUUUGGCUUUUAGCCAGAGAAAAAAACAAAUCACAGGUGGGACUUACGGCGCACGAGCUGUGGUGAAAAACCACUACCGCACAUCUACAGCUGAAGCAAUGCACGGCUGAAUAAUGUCGUGUCUGAGGGCCACGCCGCUCUAGUCUGACGACACCAGACACUCAGAGGGCGUAACAAACCUACUCC